GCAUUCAGGUAACCGCUGCAUGCUUUAGCAUGUAGAGGAAAGUCCAUGCUCGCACGAGCUGAGAUGCUCGUAGUGUUCGUGCCUAGCCAAUUCAUAAGCUAGGGUAGUCCGGUUUCGACUGGGCUAACGGCAAGGGAAGCACCUACGUCUUCGUGAUAUGGUGUGAGACCUUUGAAAGUGCCACAGUGACGUAGUCCGCCUGGAAACAGGUGGAGUGGAACGCGGUAAACCCCUCGAGCGAGAAACCCAAAAUAUGGUAGGGGCAUUUUCCCGGCUGGAAAUGAACAGCCAGGAAGAACAAAGAGAUUUCUUUGUAGAUAGAUGGUUACCACCGGAGUACGAGGCUCAUCACCGUUUGAAGUACAAUGGUACAGAACAUGGCUUAUCGAA
rnacentral:RNase_P_RNA from 1 species